CAACAGGGAUUGCCUCAGUAACGGCGAGUGAAGCGGCAAAAGCUCAAAUUUGAAAUCUGGCGCCUUCGGCGUCCGAGUUGUAAUUUGGAGAGGCAUCUUCGGGUGGGGCGCAGGCCUAUGUUCCUUGGAACAGGACGUCACAGAGGGUGAGAAUCCCGUGCACGGCCGGCUGUCCCCGUCCAUGUGAAGUGUCUUCGACGAGUCGAGUUGUUUGGGAAUGCAGCUCAAAAUGGGUGGUAAAUUUCAUCUAAAGCUAAAUAUUGGCGAGAGACCGAUAGCGCACAAGUAGAGUGAUCGAAAGAUGAAAAGCACUUUGAAAAGAGAGUUAAAAAGUACGUGAAAUUGUUGAAAGGGAAGCGCUUGAGACCAGACUUGACCUGGGGUGAUCAGCAGUCCUUCUGGGCUGUGCACUCGCCUCAGCGUCGGGCCAGCAUCGGUUGGGACGGCAGGAUAAAGGUCGCGGGAAUGUGGCUCCCCUCGGGGAGUGUUAUAGCCCGUGGCGCAAUGCUGCCUGCCCCGACCGAGGACCGCGCUUCGGCUAGGAUGCUGGCGUAAUGGUCUUCAGCGACCCGUCUUGAAACACGGACCAAGGAGUCUAACAUCUAUGCGAGUGUUUGGGUGGAAAACCCUUGCGCGUAAUGAAAGUGAACGGAGGUGGGAGCCCUCAAGGGUGCACCAUCGACCGAUCCUGAUGUCUUCGGAUGGAUUUGAGUAGGAGCAUAGCUGUUGGGACCCGAAAGAUGGUGAACUAUGCCUGAAUAGGGUGAAGCCAGAGGAAACUCUGGUGGAGGCUCGCAGCGGUUCUGACGUGCAAAUCGAUCGUCAAAUUUGGGUAUAGGGGCGAAAGACUAAUCGAACCAUCUAGUAGCUGGUUCCUGCCGAAGUUUCCCUCAGGAA
rnacentral:rRNA from 1 species